UGGGGAAUAUUUGACAAUGGGCGAAAGCCUGAUCCAGCCAUGCCGCGUGUGUGAAGAAGGUCUUCGGAUUGUAAAGCACUUUAAGUUGGGAGGAAGGGCAUUAACCUAAUACGUUAGUGUUUUGACGUUACCGACAGAAUAAGCACCGGCUAACUCUGUGCCAGCAGCCGCGGUAAUACAGAGGGUGCAAGCGUUAAUAGGAAUUACUGGGCGUAAAGCGCGCGUAGGUGGUUUGUUAAGUUGGAUGUGAAAUCCCCGGGCUCAACCUGGGAACUGCAUUCAAAACUGACUGACUAGAGUAUGGUAGAGGGUGGUGGAAUUUCCUGUGUAGCGGUGAAAUGCGUAGAUAUAGGAAGGAACACCAGUGGCGAAGGCGACCACCUGGACUAAUACUGACACUGAGGUGCGAAAGCGUGGGGAGCAAACA
rnacentral:rRNA from 1 species